AGCUGCGCACGGAAGCUGACUCUCCGCGUGGGCGGGAGGGCGUCCCGCGUCUGGCGAGGGGCGGUGCGCACACCUUCCUUCAAGUUAGAUGUUGACGGUGCUUCAAGAUUUGCUUUUCUGCACAGGAGGGCGGGGAGACCUGAGGGAACCUUAAAACAUGAAGGUCCUCUUUCUGUUCGCUGUUCUCUUCUGUUUGGUCCAAAUGAACGCAGAAAGCAUUCAUCACAGUCUGAGAAAAGUUUGCGGAAAGAAAUGACAGUCAUACAGAUGUCAGAGCUGGAAGGGAAUGAAUGCUCUUCUAUGGAAACCCCAUACUUUACAGAGACAGGAAACCACGCUCCCGAGAAACGCCACUGUCCUGCGGUGCAAUUGACAAUCACAGUCAUAGCAGUUAUUCAUCCUGACACUGGCAUUCCUCCAGCUUUCACAGAGAGCCGAUUUUACAGAGGAAAACUGAGCCAUAGCCAGGGGACAUUCCACCUGCAAUUAGAAAUGUUAUCUGUCUUAUGCAACAUGGAACCUGCAGACUUUUUUUCUGCUAUUCUGGUGAGAAAAAAGCUGAAAUCUGCUCCGAUCCCUGGAAUAGGUGCUGUAUAGCACAUACAGAG